UACAGAGGUCCCAAGCGUUGUUCGGAUUCACUGGGCGUAAAGGGUGCGUAGGCGGUCGGGUAAGUCUGAUGUGAAAUCUCACAGCUUAACUGUGAAACUGCAUUGGAUACUAUCCGGCUAGAGGAAUGGAGGGGAGACUGGAAUACUUGGUGUAGCGGUGAAAUGCGUAGAUAUCAAGUGGAACACCAGUGGCGAAGGCGAGUCUCUGGACAUUUCCUGACGCUGAGGCACGAAAGCCAGGGGAGCAAACGGG
rnacentral:rRNA from 1 species